GACGAACGCUGGCGGCGUGCUUAACACAUGCAAGUCGAACGGAAAGGCCUGCUUUCCCUUGUGGAUUGCGGGUACUCGAGUGGCGAACGGGUGAGUAACACGUGAGUGAUCUGCCCCCAACUUGGGUAUAAGCCUGGGAAACUGGGUCUAAUUCCCGAUAGGACUGCAGGGUGGUGCCUGUGGUGGAAAACGAUUUUCUAGUGGUUGGGGAUGAGCUCGCGGCCUAUCAGCUUGUUGGUGGGGUAAUGGCCUACCAAGGCGGCGACGGGUAGCCGGCCUGAGAGGGUGGACGGCCACAUUGGGACUGGGAUACGGCCCAGACUCCUACGGGAGGCAGCAGUGGGGAAUAUUGCACAAUGGGCGGAAGCCUGAUGCAGCGACGCCGCGGGGGGGAUGACGGCCUUCGGGUUGUAAACUCCUUUCGACCGCGAGGAAGCCACCUGGUUGGAAGGGUGGUGACGGUAGUGGUAGAAGAAGCACCGGCUAACUACGUG
rnacentral:rRNA from 1 species